rnacentral:rRNA from 1 species
UACGUAGGGGGGCUAGCGUUGUCCGGAUUUAUUGGGCGUAAAGCGCGUGUAGGCGGCCAGAUAGGUCUGAUGUGAAAACUGGGGGCUCAACCUCCAGCUGUCAUUGGAAACCCUCUGGCUAGAGUCCGGAAGAGGAGAGUGGAAUUCCUGGUGUAGCGGUGAAAUGCGUAGAUAUCGGAAGGAACAUCAGUGGCGAAAGCGACUUCCUGGACCAGUACCGACGUUCAGGCACGAAAGCCGUGGGGAGCAA